UGGAAAAUAAAUUGUUCUGCCUUUCAGGCGCGUUUCAAUGCAUUUUAAUAUAGAGAGUUUUAUUGUGAAAUUACCGCUCUUAUUUUGACGUGUCACUUCACCGGAUGUGCUGCUGGGGUUUUCCCCUGGCUGGGACAUGAGAGCGCAAGGUUGAUCCGGAGGAGAUGGAGAAGCAACGCAUGUAGUUUCACAUCGUUUUGUACUCAAGAAUGGCAAGCCUGUAUAUUAAAGCUCCACUCCAAGAAAGACACGUCUUGUCUUUGAGUCAAAAGUACUCAUGAUAGGGUAAUACACGUUACACGCAAGAACACGGCAGCAGGUCAGAGAGUCAGAGGAGUAACGUCUUGGAAAACAGGGCAGCGACUUACCGGAGAAAAGUUAUUAGCUUAAGAUAAAUAGAUAAAUAGAUUUUACAAGUCAAAUAGACAUUCGCAAAAUAUUGAGUUCCAGCUAACAUUAUGUAACAUUUGAGGUCCAGGAGCAAAAAUGACAUUAACCAGGUAAGAUAAAUAUUAGUGGAAGGACACAAUUUAAAAAAUGAAUCUAAUUAGAGGCUUUGUAAUUAAUUAAUCACGACUGAUUAACAAGGGCAUAGAAGUAAAAAAAAAGCGAUAUAUGCAGUGUUGUCUUCAUUUUAAAUGACAAAAGGAUUUUGCGGCUCCCGGUGUUUUCUUUUCUGUGGGAAACGGGUCGAAAUGGCUCUUUGAGUGUUAAAGGUUGCCGACCCCUGGUAUAGACCAGAGCUCUAGAGAUAGUAAGAGUUGCGACACUCCCAUAGGGUCCCGUUGUACGCUUUCUUCCAGUCUACUUCCGGGUUGUGGAGGCUUGUUUAGUUCCAAGCACCGCUUCGACACUGACAGCCACCGUUCAUUUGCACUGCAGGUCGUUGAGUAUAUGUGGAGUAUCCCGAGAGCCCUCACUGAAGACACGAAGACCCUCAUUGUUUCUCCCAUUGUCAAUAAAAACAUACUAUUUCAUUCAUCAAA